rnacentral:pre_miRNA from 1 species
UCAAUACUCCCUCCGUCCGAAAAUACUUGUCAUCAAAAUGGACAAAAAAGAAUGUAUCUAGAACUAAAAUACAUCUAGAUACAUCCCCUUUUAUUCAUUUUGAUGACAAGUAUUUUCGGACGGAGGGAGUACUUG